UGCGUAGGCGGGUCUUUAAGUCAGGGGUGAAAUCCUGGAGCUCAACUCCAGAACUGCCUUUGAUACUGAGGAUCUUGAGUUCGGGAGAGGUGAGUGGAACUGCGAGUGUAGAGGUGAAAUUCGUAGAUAUUCGCAAGAACACCAGUGGCGAAGGCGGCUCACUGGCCCGAUACUGACGCUGAGGCACGAAAGCGUGGGGAGCAAACGGGAUUAGAUACCCUGGUAGUCCACGCCGUAAACGAUGAAUGCCAGCCGUUAGUGGGUUUACUCACUAGUGGCGCAGCUAACGCUUUAAGCAUUCCGCCUGGGGAGUACGGUCGCAAGAUUAAA
rnacentral:rRNA from 1 species